UACGUAGGGUGCGAGCGUUAAUCGGAAUUACUGGGCGUAAAGGGUGCGCAGGCGGCGUCGCAAGUCAGGCGUGAAAUCCCCGGGCUCAACCUGGGAACUGCAUUUGUGACUGCAUGGCUAGAGUGCGGCAGAGGGGGAUGGAAUUCCGCGUGUAGCAGUGAAAUGCGUAGAUAUGCGGAGGAACACCGAUGGCGAAGGCAAUCCCCUGGGCCUGCACUGACGCUCAUGCACGAAAGCGUGGGGAGCAAACAGG
rnacentral:rRNA from 1 species